GAUGAACGCUGGCGGCGUGCCUAAUACAUGCAAGUCGAGCGAACUGAUUAGAAGCUUGCUUCUAUGACGUUAGCGGCGGACGGGUGAGUAACACGUGGGCAACCUGCCUGUAAGACUGGGAUAACUUCGGGAAACCGAAGCUAAUACCGGAUAGGAUCUUCUCCUUCAUGGGAGAUGAUUGAAAGAUGGUUUCGGCUAUCACUUACACAUGGGCCCGCGGUGCAUUAGCUAGUUGGUGAGGUAACGGCUAACCAAGGCAACGAUGCCUAGCCGACCUGAGAGGUUGAUCGGCCACACUGGGACUGAGACACGGCCCAGACUCCUACGGGAGGCAGCAGUAGGGAAUCUUCCGCAAUGGACGAAAGUCUGACGGAGCAACGCCGCGUGAGUGAUGAAGGCUUUCGGGUCGUAAAACUCUGUUGUUAGGGAAGAACAAGUACGAGAGUAACUGCUCGUACCUUGACGGUACCUAACCAGAAAGCCACGGCUAACUACGUGCCAGCCGCCGCCGUAAUAC
rnacentral:rRNA from 1 species